rnacentral:rRNA from 1 species
GACGAACGCUGGCGGCGUGCUUAACACAUGCAAGUCGAACGGAAAGGCUCUGCUUUUGUGGGGUGCUCGAGUGGCGAACGGGUGAGUAACACGUGAGUAACCUGCCCUUGACUUUGGGAUAACUUCAGGAAACUGGGGCUAAUACCGGAUAUGAGCUCCUGCUGCAUGGUGGGGGUUGGACAGUUUCGGCGGUUGGGGAUGGACUCGCGGCUUAUCAGCUUGUUGGUGGGGUAGUGGCUUACCAAGGCUUUGACGGGUAGCCGGCCUGAGAGGGUGACCGGCCACAUUGGGACUGAGAUACGGCACAGACUCCUACGGGAGGCAGCAGUGGGGAAUAUUGCACAAUCGGCGGAAGCCUGAUGCAGCAACGCCGCGUGCGGGAUGAAGGCCUUCGGGUUGUAAACCGCUUUCGCCUGUGACGAAGCGUGAGUGACGGUAAUGGGUAAAGAAGCACCGGCUAACUACGUG